rnacentral:rRNA from 1 species
GCCUACAUGAAGCUGGAAUUGCUAGUAAUCACAGGUCAGCAUACUGUGGUGAAUACGUUCCCGGGCCUUGUACACACCGCCCGUCACACCAUGAGAGUUGAGAAUACCCGAAGUCCAUGUCAAAGUGGCCGAAGGUAGGCUUGAUGAUUGGGGUGAAGUCGUAACAAGGUACC